GACGAACGCUGGCGGCGUGCUUAACACAUGCAAGUCGAACGGAAAGGCCCUGCUCUUGUGGGGUGCUCGAGUGGCGAACGGGUGAGUAACACGUGAGUAACCUGCCCUUGUCUUUGAGAUAACUUCAGGAAACUGGGGCUAAUACCGGAUAGGAGCUCCUGCUGCAUGGUGGGGGUUGGAAAGUUUCGGCGGUUGGGGAUGGACUCGCGGCUUAUCAGCUUGUUGGUGGAGUAGUGGCUUACCAAGGGUUUGACGGGUAGCCGGCCUGGGCGGGUGACCGGCGUCCUGGGUCCUGAGGUACGCCCCAGACGCCUACCGGAGGCAACGGGGGAAAAUAUGACACAGCAGGGGGGAGCCAGAUACAGCAGCCCCGCGUGCGGGAAGACGGCCUACGGGGUGUAAACCACUUUCGCCGGUGACAUACCGGGAGUGACGGUAAUGAGUAAAGAAGCACCGGCUAACUACGUG
rnacentral:rRNA from 1 species